rnacentral:rRNA from 1 species
AUUGAACGCUGCGGCAGGCCUAACACAUGCAAGUCGAGCGGUAGAGAGAAGCUUGCUUCUCUUGAGAGCGGCGGACGGGUGAGUAAUGCCUAGGAAUCUGCCUGGUAGUGGGGGAUAACGCUCGGAAACGGACGCUAAUACCGCAUACGUCCUACGGGAGAAAGCAGGGGACCUUCGGGCCUUGCGCUAUCAGAUGAGCC